GGCUGCGCCAGGAGUCAGCCGACGGAGUGAGCCCGGGAUGUGGUUCGGGGGCCAGGCGGGAGAGGGAAGAGCCGCGGCCGCGGCGGCCGUUGCCAUCGCUCUGCUGUGGCUGGUGGUCCUGGUGGUGAGGCAGCUGCUGAAGCAGAGGCGGCCAGUUGGUUUCCCUCCUGGCCCAGUGAGGCUGCCGCUCAUUGGUAAUAUCCACUCCUUGGCGUCGGAGCAGCCGCAUAUUUACAUGAAGAGGCAGAGCGAACUUCAAGGACAGAUCUUUAGUCUUGAUCUUGGAGGUAUAUCAGCUAUCGUACUGAAUGGCUAUGAUGCAGUGAAAGAAUGUCUUGUUCAGCAAAGUGAUGUUUUUGCGGACAGGCCACCUCUUCCUUUGUUCAAGAAGCUCACAAAAAUGGGAGGUUUAUUAAACUCCAGAUAUGGCAGAGGCUGGACAGAGCAUCGCAAAUUAGCUGUAACCAGUUUUCGUAACUUUGGAUAUGGUCAAAAAUCUUUUGAAUGCAAAAUAUCAGAAGAAUCAAUUGUUUUUCUUGAAGCAAUUGAUACCUAUAAAGGCAAGCCUUUUGAUCUGAAACACUUGAUUACAAGUGCAGUUUCAAAUAUUACCAAUUUAAUUAUUUUUGGAGAAAGAUUUACAUAUGAAGACACUGAAUUUCAACAUAUGAUAGAAAUAUUUAGUGAAAACAUUGAAUUGGCUGCUAGUGCUACAGCUUUUUUAUAUAAUGCUUUUCCAUGGAUUGGUGCCUUCCCUUUUGGAAAACACCAACAGCUCUUUAAAAAUGCAGCUGAAGUCUAUGCAUUUCUUCUUCAUCUUAUUCAGCGUGCUUCACAGAACAGGAAACCUCAGUCACCUCGACAUUUUAUAGAUGCCUAUUUAGAUGAGAUUGAUAAAAAUAAAAAUGAUCUAGAGUCUACAUUUUCAACAGAAAACUUAAUUUUCUCUGUUGGAGAAAUUAUGAUUGCUGGAACAGAAACAACAACCAAUGUUCUAAGAUGGGCAGUUUUAUUCAUGGCUCUUUAUCCUAAUAUUCAAGGGCAAGUGCAUAAAGAAAUUGAUUUAGUUGUGGGGCCAAACAGAACUCCCUGCCUAGAAGAAAAGUGCAAAAUGCCAUACACAGAGGCAGUCAUCCAUGAAAUUUUAAGAUUCUGUAAUGUAGCUCCACUAGGUAUUUUCCAUGCAACUUCUAAAGACACAGUUGUGCGUGGUUAUUCUAUCCCUGAAGGAACUACAGUAAUUACUAAUCUCUAUUCUGUACACUUUGAUGAAAAGUACUGGAUUAACCCAGAAGUUUUUUGGCCUGAGAGGUUUUUGGACACUUCGGGACAGUUUGUCAAGAAGGAAGCAUUUGUUCCUUUUUCAUUAGGAAAACGACACUGUUUAGGAGAACAGCUGGCCAGAAUGGAAAUGUUUUUAUUUUUUACUUCAUUGCUUCAGCGAUUCCAUUUGCAUUUUCCUUGUUCUUUGAUUCCAAACCUUAAGCCAAAAUUAGGCAUGACAUUGCAACCUCAUCCAUACCUUAUCUGUGCGGAGAGGCGAUGUUGAAUGCAAAACUUCUGGAAUAAUGGCUAAUUAUGCAUAGAUUCAAACAACCUGAUAACAGCAAAGAGUCAGAUGUGAAAAUCUUUUUUUUUUAAGUACUAGAUACAUCCUACCAGCUCGCCUGGACCCUGUAUUGUGAGCCAAGGUCACUGAAGAAGAUCUUUGUUUUGGUAUCGUCAAUAGAUUUGUGUUGAAAGGCCCAUUUGGAUAGGAUCCUUGACUAAAUGUAAGACAGGAAAGAAAAAAAAUGUUCAUCUUAUGUUAUUCUAAUAAACAAAACAUAAUACAGAUAUGAUCAUUUUAAUCUUAUGAAUAAAAGAUAAGCAUAAUGAAACAGUAACUGCUAACAUGUAUCCUUUUCACAAAAUGUCUGGGCACACAUACAUAUUGAAUAAAAAGAAAAAUUACUGAUAAGCAAAAGAAAAAUUGCAAAUAAAAUAACGUAAUUUCAUA